AUUGAACGCUGGCGGCAGGCCUAACACAUGCAAGUCGAACGGUAACAGGAAGCAGCUUGCUGCUUCGCUGACGAGUGGCGGACGGGUGAGUAAUGUCUGGGAAGCCGCCUGAUGGAGGGGGAUAACUACUGGAAACGGUAGCUAAUACCGCAUAAUGUCGCAAGACCAAAGAGGGGGACCUUCGGGCCUCUUGCCAUCGGCUGUGCCCAGAUGGGAUUAGCUUGUUGGUGGGGUAACGGCUCACCAAGGCGACGAUCCCUAGCUGGUCUGAGAGGAUGACCAGCCACACUGGAACUGAGACACGGUCCAGACUCCUACGGGAGGCAGCAGUGGGGAAUAUUGCACAAUGGGCGCAAGCCUGAUGCAGCCAUGCCGCGUGUAUGAAGAAGGCCUUCGGGUUGUAAAGUACUUUCAGCGGGGAGGAAGGGAGUAAAGUUAAUACCUUUGCUCAUUGACGUUACCCGCAGAAGAAGCACCGGCUAACUCCGUG
rnacentral:rRNA from 1 species